rnacentral:rRNA from 1 species
UGGGGAAUAUUGCACAAUGGGCGCAAGCCUGAUGCAGCCAUGCCGCGUGUGUGAAGAAGGCCUUCGGGUUGUAAAGCACUUUCAGCGAGGAGGAAGGUGGUGAGCUUAAUACGCUCAUCAAUUGACGUUACUCGCAGAAGAAGCACCGGCUAACUCCGUGCCAGCAGCCGCGGUAAUACGGAGGGUGCAAGCGUUAAUCGGAAUUACUGGGCGUAAAGCGCACGCAGGCGGUUUGUUAAGUCAGAUGUGAAAUCCCCGGGCUCAACCUGGGAACUGCAUUUGAAACUGGCAAGCUAGAGUCUCGUAGAGGGGGGUAGAAUUCCAGGUGUAGCGGUGAAAUGCGUAGAGAUCUGGAGGAAUACCGGUGGCGAAGGCGGCCCCCCUGGACGAAGACUGACGCUCAGGUGCGAAAAGCGUGGGGCAGCAAACAGGAUUAGAUACCCUGGUAGUCCACGCUGUAAACGAUGUCGAUUUGGAGGUUGUGCCCUUGAGGCGUGGCUUCCGGAGCUAACGCGUUAAAUCGACCG